rnacentral:rRNA from 1 species
GACGAACGCUGGCGGCGUGCUUAACACAUGCAAGUCGAGCGGUAAGGCCCUUUCGGGGGUACACGAGCGGCGAACGGGUGAGUAACACGUGGGUGACCUGCCCUCAGCUCUGGGAUAAGCCUGGGAAACUGGGUCUAAUACUGGAUAUGACUCCACGGUGCAUGUCGUGGGGUGGAAAGCCUUGUGCGGCUGAGGAUGGGCCCGCGGCCUAUCAGCUUGUUGGUGGGGUGANGGCCUACCAAGGCGACGACGGGUAGCCGGCCUGAGAGGGCGACCGGCCACACUGGGACUGAGACACGGCCCAGGCUCCGUACGGGAGGCAGCAGUGGGGAAUCUUGCGCAAUGGGCGAAAGCCUGACGCAGCGACGCCGCGUGAGGGAUGACGGCCUGGU